rnacentral:tRNA from 1 species
GCCCUGGUGGUACAGCAGUUAAGCACUCAGCUGCUAACUGAAAGUUGGUGGUUUGAACCCACCCUGUGGCU